CAACUCACCUGCCGAAGCAACUAGCCNNGAAAAUGGAUGGCGCUCUAGCGUCGUGCCUAUACCGGGCCGUCAACGGCAAAGUGGGCAACUGCUGCAAAGCAAUUGCCGUUAUGCCUUGACGAGUAGGAGGGUCGCGGCGGUGUGCGCAGAAGGGUCAGGGCGUGAGCCCGCCUGGAGCCGCCGUCGGCGCAGAUCUUGGUGGUAGUAGCAAAUACUCUAGCGAGGGCCUGGAGGACUGACGUGGAGAAGGGUUUCUUGUGAACAGCCGUUGCACAAGAGUCAGUCGACCCUAAGCCCUAGGAGAAAUCCGAUGUUGAUGGGUGGCUAUACAAAAUACCACGUUCUGUUUGUUGCGAAAGCCACAAGUACUGCACACGCGUUCAGCCUAUCAGGCGAGGACAAAGCAGCCUUGGCGGCACUGCGUUUCAACCCGAGGAAAGGGCACAUGCUUUUCAACAGCCCGGCGCUUUCGUGCCUGUGGCUGUUCUUGCGUCUGUGCACUGACCAGGGUGUUGGACGAANUCGUGACAACUGCUCCUGUCGGGCAAAAGGGAAUCCGGUUCCUAUUCCGGAACCCGGCUGCGGAACCGUCACUCAGCGGGCACUCGCCUGCGAGCGCUCGUCGGGGUAACCCAAACUGGCCCGGAGACGCCGGCGGGGGGUCUGGAAAGAGUUUUCUUUUCUUUAUAAGCGUUCGAGUACCCUGGAAUCCUAUAGCAGGGAGAUAGGGUUUGGAACGCGAAGAGCACCGCAUUUGCGGCGGUGUCCGGACCUUCCCCCCGGACCUUGAAAAUCCGGGUGAGGGCUACGCGGAAGUCGCGCCGGAUCGUACCCAUAUCCGCAGCAGGUCUCCAAGGUUAAGAGCCUCUAGUCGAUAGAAUAAU
rnacentral:rRNA from 1 species